rnacentral:rRNA from 1 species
ACGAACGCUGGCGGCGUGCUUAACACAUGCAAGUCGAACGGAAAGGCCCUGCUUUUGUGGGGUGCUCGAGUGGCGAACGGGUGAGUAACACGUGAGUAACCUGCCCUUGACUUUGGGAUAACUUCAGGAAACUGGGGCUAAUACCGGAUAGGAGCUCCUGCUGCAUGGUGGGGGUUGGAAAGUUUCGGCGGUUGGGGAUGGACUCGCGGCUUAUCAGCUUGUUGGUGGGGUAGUGGCUUACCAAGGCUUUGACGGGUAGCCGGCCUGAGAGGGUGACCGGCCACAUGGGGACUGAGAUACGGCCCAGACUCCUACGGGAGGCAGCAGGGGGGAAUAUUGCACAAUGGGCGGAAGCCUGAGGCAGCAACGCCGCGUGCGGGAUGGCGGCCUUCGGGUUGUAAACCGCUUUCGCCUGUGACGAAGCGUGAGUGACGGUAAUGGGUAAAGAAGCACCGGCUAACUACGU